rnacentral:rRNA from 1 species
GAUGAACGCUGGCGGCGUGCCUAAUACAUGCAAGUCGAGCGAACGGACGAGAAGCUUGCUUCUCUGAUGUUAGCGGCGGACGGGUGAGUAACACGUGGAUAACCUACCUAUAAGACUGGGAUAACUUCGGGAAACCGGAGCUAAUACCGGAUAAUAUUUUGAACCGCAUGGUUCAAAAGUGAAAGACGGUCUUGCUGUCACUUCUAGAUGGAUCCGCGCUGCAUUAGCUAGUUGGUAAGGUAACGGCUUACCAAGGCAACGAUGCAUAGCCGGCCUGAGAGGGUGAUCGGCCACACUGGAACUGAGACACGGUCCAGACUCCUACGGGAGGCAGCAGUAGGGAAUCUUCCGCAAUGGGCGAAAGCCUGACGGAGCAACGCCGCGUGAGUGAUGAAGGUCUUCGGAUCGUAAAACUCUGUUAUUAGGGAAGAACAUAUGUGUAAGUAACUGUGCACAUCUUGACGGUACCUAAUCAGAAAGCCACGGCUAACUACGUG